UUUUAUCCUUUUUUUUGUUCAUUACCCUUACAAAAAUAGCUUAUUGUAUUUCUAGCCUUGGAAAAUUACUAUUUGCAUAUGUAUCUCUUAAAACAUCAUAUUUUUGCAUGAAUACAUAUGCGGUUAUAUUUUUAGUUGACGGUGUUAAGAAGUAAUUAUUUUAAGAAUAAAAUAAUUUUAUCACCCCUUACAAUAAUAUUCUUGAGGAAUAUAUAACAAAUGCAGGGAUGUUAACAUAAAAGGAUAAUUAUGCCAAAUGAUAUUCGGAAGGGUUAUUUGUUAGAAUUGUUAGCCAAACAUCUAAUAGGAGGGGCAUCCAUGCAAAACCAGGAUGUUUGAGGGGUGCGUAUGUAAAUAGUUACUUUCGGGGUGGAUAUUCAAUAAGUUAGAUUUGUAAAUGUUUAUGUGCAAAGAAUCCUUAUUUAUAUGCAUGGUCGAACUUGAAUAUUAACCAUAUU
rnacentral:lncRNA from 1 species